GAAUUGGUUCCAUUUGGAACCACAAAACCGAUUAACUAAAUAUACCU
rfam:Arabidopsis lyrata subsp. lyrata unplaced genomic scaffold ARALYscaffold_3, whole genome shotgun sequence.